rnacentral:lncRNA from 1 species
CGGUGUGAUUUUUGGGACUUCCGGUGAGUUACGGUGAACGGUUUUAGGAAACCGAUUUCGAGGAUUUGUGUAGAGUUCGUGAGUCAUGUAUUUUGGAUUUGUGGGUUGGAUACUGACCCGGUGGAUCUUCGUAGAUCCGGUAGAUGUAUUGUGCAUCCAGGUUUCUGACGCGAUUGUGACAUGUGGGUGCUUCGAGCUGGUAGUCUGUAAGAUCGUUUCACUUUUU